UACGAAGGGGGCUAGCGUUGCUCGGAAUCACUGGGCGUAAAGGGUGCGUAGGCGGGUCUUUUAAGUCAGGGGUGAAAUCCUGGAGCUCAACUCCAGAACUGCCUUUGAUACUGAAGAUCUUGAGUUCGGGAGAGGUGAGUGGAACUGCGAGUGUAGAGGUGAAAUUCGUAGAUAUUCGCAAGAACACCAGUGGCGAAGGCGGCUCACUGGCCCGAGUACUGACGCUGAGGCACGAAAGCGUGGGGAGCAAGUAGG
rnacentral:rRNA from 1 species